AGCGAACGCUGGCGGCAGGCUUAACACAUGCAAGUCGAGCGGGCAUCUUCGGAUGUCAGCGGCAGACGGGUGAGUAACACGUGGGAACGUACCCUUCGGUUCGGAACAACUCUGGGAAACUGGAGCUAAUACCGGAUACGCCCUUAUGGGGAAAGGUUUACUGCCGAAGGAUCGGCCCGCGUCUGAUUAGCUAGUUGGUGGGGUAACGGCCUACCAAGGCGACGAUCAGUAGCUGGUCUGAGAGGAUGAUCAGCCACACUGGGACUGAGACACGGCCCAGACUCCUACGGGAGGCAGCAGUGGGGAAUAUUGGACAAUGGGCGCAAGCCUGAUCCAGCCAGGCCGCGUGAGUGAUGAAGGCCUUAGGGUUGUAAAGCUCUUUUGGCCGGGACGAUAAUGACGGUACCGGAAGAAUAAGCCCCGGCUAACUUCGU
rnacentral:rRNA from 1 species